AUUUUGCCCAGCAAUGUCAGACAUUAGCUGUUGUUUGAUCUCAAGGAAUGAGUAGAACUGCUGUAAUCUGUCACACUUUAGAUGCCGUCACUGGAGACACGCAGUCGCUGUCCUGGUCUGUUAAAGGAACUUKGUAACUGUGCAUUGACUGUGAAGAUCACACACAUUGUAUGACACUUCCUUGCAGAAUGAAUUAUUUCAGAACAGGGAGUUUAGGAUUUGCACCUCAUAUUUGCCCAAG